CUCUGUUUCAUUGUUCCCUUUGUUCUGUUGGCUCCCCACGCUGUUUUCCCUUUGGCCUUUGUUCUUGGUGUUCCCUAUAAUGGCCUGUUUGCUGUUGCUUUUGCUUUGGUUUCCCUUGGCUUUCCUUCUUGCUUUUUUCUUUGUCUUACCCUUGGCUGCUUGCUUUGCUUUUCUCUUGCAGUGUCUUUCUGUGGUUGUUCUGCUUGUCUUUGGGAUUUGUGUUAAUGUUUUGUUUGUGUUAAUCUUGAUCUGCUCCCCCGGCUUAAUGCGGGUUGUAGUGAUAAAGUCUGUAACCUGUAUUUGUUAAUGGAACUGAUAUUUACCUAAUAUUUACCCAAUACUAAAGGUGUCUGUUAUGAUAAAUGCAGUCAUAAAAGUGAUGCUCAGUGCUUUAUGUGAAAGUCACUUUAAUUAUGAUCGUAGUGUGGGAUACAAUUGUUAAACUUACUGCAAAUCUAGACUUAAAAGUAGCAUUAAUUAUAUCCAUAAUAGCAUUAAUUAUAUCCCUAAUAGCAUUAAUUAUAUCCCUAAUAGCAUUAAUUAUAUCCCUAAUAGCAUUAAUUGUAUCCCAGUGCCUUCAUUGUCAUGUUGUGUCCAACAGGUUCCAGCAGAGCACAGAGAUGUGCGGCUCCUGAUGAGAGCAGCGAGGAACAGAAACCUGCAUUGCCUGGACCCAGCUUUGCUGAUGGUAACUCUCAGCCCAGCAGGGCCCUUAUAUUCCCUGGCUGAUGGAUGUUCCCCUUUGAUGCAGCGCUCCAUGCUGCCAUGCAGGCGUUCAAUAAAGCUUUGGGGGGCUGACGAUCCAUCACAACAGCACAUCAGCUACAUAUGCUGUAAUUGUACCUUGUGCCAUGCAAUGUACUGUAUAUUUGGAUGCUGCGUCUGUCAACUGCGCUGUGCCCUGUACUCAACAUGUCGAUGCUGCGCCUGUAACCCGGGAUGGACAAUUUGCUGUGUAUAUGGAUGUUGUACAAUGUAUUGUGCCAUGUGCUCUAUGUGUUGAUGUGAUGGUUGAACAUUGUGCUGUGCCAUGUUCUCAAUGUAUCAAUGCUGCGCCUGUAAACUGUGUUGUGCUCUGUAUUGACUGUGCUGAUGUUUGUACUCAAUACUGGGAUCUUGUGAGUUGUAUCUUGUGCUAUUUGUACUGCAUAUCUGGAUGUUGUGCCAUGUACUGAACUGCUGUAUCCACUUUGUGCUUGUAAAUAUGAUGUUGUUGCUGUAUUGUGUUUGUACUAUUGUAUGAGUUGUAUAUUGUGUUGAUGGAGCUGUAAUAAAGAAACAGUUGUGGUGUGUCGUUAAUUGUCA
rnacentral:lncRNA from 1 species